rnacentral:rRNA from 1 species
UACGGGGGGGGCAAGCGUUGUUCGGAAUUACUGGGCUUAAAGGGCUCGUAGGCGGCCAACUAAGUCAGACGUGAAAUCCCUCAGCUUAACUGGGGAACUGCGUCUGAUACUGGAUGGCUUGGAUUCGGGAGAGGAAUGCGGAAUUCCAGGUGUAGCGGUGAAAUGCGUAGAUAUCUGGAGGAACACCGGUGGCGAAGGCGGCAUUCUGGACCGAUAUUGACGCUGAGGAGCGAAAGCCAGGGGAGCAAACGGG